rnacentral:rRNA from 1 species
CGUCGCUCAACGGAUAAAAGGUACCCCGGGGAUAACAGGCUGAUCUUCCCCAAGAGUCCAUAUCGACGGGAUGGUUUGGCACCUCGAUGUCGGCUCGUCGCAUCCUGGGGCUGGAGUCGGUCCCAAGGGUUGGGCUGUUCGCCCAUUAAAGCGGUACGCGAGCUGGGUUUAGAACGUCGUGAGACAGUUCGGUCCCUAUCCGCUGUGCGCGUAGGAAUAUUGAGAAGGGCUGUCCCUAGUACGAGAGGACCGGGACGGACGAACCUCUGGUGUGCCAGUUGUCCUGCCAAGGGCAUGGCUGGUUGGCUACGUUCGGGAGGGAUAACCGCUGAAAGCAUCUAAGCGGGAAGCCUGCUUCGAGAUGAGUAUUCCCACCCCCUUGAGGGGUUAAGGCUCCCAGUAGACGACUGGGUUGAUAGGCCAGAUCUGGAAGGCGGGUAACCGCUGGAGGUGACUGGUACUAAUAGGCCGAGGGCUUGUCCUCAGUUG